GCACAAGCGGUGGAGCAUGUGGUUAAUUCGAAGCAACACGAAGAACCUUACCAGGUCUUGACAUCCCCUGACAACCCGAGAGAUCGGGCGUUCCCCUUCGGGGGACAGGGUGACAGGUGGUGCAUGGUUGUCGUCAGCUCGUGUCGUGAGAUGUUGGGUUAAGUCCCGCAACGAGCGCAACCCUCGACCUUAGUUGCCAGCAUUCAGUUGGGCACUCUAAGGUGACUGCCGGCUAAAAGUCGGAGGAAGGUGGGGAUGACGUCAAAUCAUCAUGCCCCUUAUGACCUGGGCUACACACGUGCUACAAUGGGCGGUACAAAGGGUCGCGAACCCGCGAGGGGGAGCCAAUCCCAAAAAGCCGCUCUCAGUUCGGAUUGCAGGCUGCAACUCGCCUGCAUGAAGCCGGAAUCGCUAGUAAUCGCGGAUCAGCAUGCCGCGGUGAAUACGUUCCCGGGCCUU
rnacentral:rRNA from 1 species